UUCCCCCCUUUCUUUCUUUCAUUCAGAAAGAAAUCAAAUCACACAACCCCAGGCAAAAAAUCCUAGCACUGUAAGCCUACACCACCGCCGCAAGGAGUGGCAUACUGCCGCGCCCGUCGCACUCAAAGUUUGCCAUUCGUCCGUCUAUCUAGCUUCCUUCGUGAUCCAAGUCUUCAACCCCUGUUCGCUGUCACCGAUCGCGGCUGCUUCCUCGAGCUCGGCGUCCGUCGUCUUUGUCUGCUCAGCCGCGCUUCCGUCGCCGUUUGUUUGCCGUUCACGUUCGCAUCUUCGUUCAGCUGUCGUCUUCGUUCGCGUUCUUCGCCGUUCACGUUCGCUCGGCGUUUACUGCUCGCGUUCACUCGCCGUUCACCGUUCGAGUUUGCAUUCGUGUUCGUCUGGAAGCCACGUUGCUCUGCUUCAAACACUGCGACCAACCCGCACGCUCCACCUAGCCGUCGAACUGCUCUCUUUUGUCGCCUCCGGUCAACCUGUUCAACGUGUGACCUACUAGUUGAACCAGUAACCUAGUAAACAAUACCAUGUCUGGUUCAAUCACCGGCUAACGUUGGCUCUACCACUCGUCACCACUGCCGCCUGCGCCUCUUGCUUUCCUUCUCUUCUCUCGGAUUUCUGUAAGCGGCAAUAACACUUAGAAAAAGAGACAGGAGCAUCGGUAGUUCAGUAGAACAGAAAUCGGAGAGAAGGGAAGGAAAGCGAGAGGCGCAGGCAAAGGCGGCACCGGUGACGAGUGGCAGAACCAAGAUGAGACUGGGCAACAAUGGAGAACAAACAAAAUCAGUGAUUGAACCAAUCGGAGUAUUGUUUACUGGGUCUGGUUCAAUCAGUAGAUCACACGUUGAACCGGUUGACCCUGUCACACUUAAAUAAAAGUAUAAAAUAGUCAAAAACUUAAAAAUAAAUUUGAAAUAUAUGUCUUCCCUAACAUUGUAAUAACGAUCAAGUCUCAGUUUCUAAACAUAACUAAUACAAAAAUUUCAAUUAGCGUUAAACUUUCAUUAAAACGAUCAAGUAAAAGUAACAAUCAAAUAUUAAACCUACAUUAAAAGAGGAUGGAAGCAACGGGCUUCUAAUGACGCUGCAAAAAUGUGGUGCCUCGAGUAUGAAGGUUCUGCUUGGAUUUGGAGUUUAUGCAGAAGCAUGUUCUUCCAUCACUCAACGGUUUACCCCAUGGUAAUCCCAUACGAUGGCAAGUUGUGCAUCAUUGGGGGGUGGAAUAUGGGUUGAUAUCUACCAUCCAAAAUCAGAAUUUUGGGAAAAAAAAGGAAGUAGCCGAGAGUGUGCACUUGCGUCCUCGCACUUGCUUUUUGUGGGAAACCCUCAUUGUGUAUUCUGUUGAUGAUGAUAACAAUCAAUGGCUCAUGUCAUAUGAUUUGAAUGCCAACAUUUGGAGCCCCAUUGAGUGCAAUUUUUCGCCUGCUCGUGAUUACCUACGUAUGAAACUCUUCGUUUGGGUUGCAGUGAUUAUCUUCUUAUUAUUGACUUUGUCACUAUUUGGUACAUCUAUGACUUGUCUAAGAAGAAACUCGUGGCAAGGAAAGUCUGAUUUCUGUCUUCGUUAAUCCAGAUAAAAUGGAUCUUGAGGAAGAGUGUUAUGCCAGAGUCAAUCUCCAAACCUAUGGUAAUUUUUCUGCUAAGGUUGAAUUCAAGGGUAAUCUUAAAGUUGGUCUCUAUAGGAAGCACUAUGUAUAAGCAUGCACAUUUCUCUUCUAUCUGUUCUUUCUAUUAUUAUACUGUCUUAAACUUAAUUAAUUCAUGACCCUAUCCAUUGUGGAUAAAUUUGCUAGUGUAGACCAAGACAUUAAAAAGGGAAGAUCACUGUAGCAUAGAUGUUGCUGUGAUAUCUUAGGAAUAUGUUAUCUUGAACAUAUUAACUUAUAUUUUUCUUUAUCACAUAGCACGAUCAUAUAUAUGUUAGGGGUAAAAAAUAUAUAUAUACAUUUAUAUUCAUGGACAAUAUGAAUUGCUAAAAAUUAACUAGUAUCCAGUAGCAUAAUUCAUUUUUGGAGUGGCCUAUUUACAAAUUAAAGUGAAGGGUUUAAGAUUGAGUUACGUUUUAGUCUCUCUUAUGAUGAAGAUCGAAGUUAUUCAACAACAUUUUUUAAUUUCACACCUAUUUUAUAAGUUUAUUUUACAUUACUUUCUGGAGGCAAUUUUAUUGGUUUGUGUAUGGAUAUUCAUCCCAAACCUUAUGAUCUUUUGACUACUACUUUUUUAGGAACAAAUUUCUGUUUGAUCCCUUUGUUGUUUCACAAAGUACAAUUUGAUACUUUGAAGUAGUUAAUCAAGAUAUAA